rnacentral:rRNA from 1 species
GGCUUGGACUGGCGGUCCGCCGCAAGGUGUGUACUGUUGGUUCGGGCCUUACUUCUUGGUGAGCUUGCAUGGCCUUUAUUGGUUGUGUGAGGGAACCAGGACUUUUACCUUGAGAAAAUUAGAGUGUUCAAAGCAGGCCUACGCCUGAAUACGUUAGCAUGGAAUAAUAAAAUAGGACGGCAUGGUUCUAUUUUGUUGGUUUCUAGGAUCACCGUA